rnacentral:tRNA from 1 species
UCUAAUGUGGCAGAAUAGUGCACUGGAUUUAAACCCCAUAUAUAAAGAUUACUUUUAUUAGAA